GUAGGUGGCAAGCGUUGUCCGGAAUUAUUGGGCGUAAAGCGCGCGCAGGCGGUUUUUAAGUCUGAUGUGAAAGCCCACGGCUCAACCGUGGAGGGUCAUUGGAAACUGGAGAACUUGAGUACAGAAGAGGAAAGCGGAAUUCCACGUGUAGCGGUGAAAUGCGUAGAGAUGUGGAGGAACACCAGUGGCGAAGGCGGCUUUCUGGUCUGUAACUGACGCUGAGGCGCGAAAGCGUGGGGAGCAAACAGGGAUUAGAUACCCUGGUAGUCCACGCCGUAAACGAUGAGUGCUAAGUGUUAGGGGGUUCCGCCCCUUAGUGCUGCAGCUAACGCAUUAAGCACUCCGCCUGGGGAUACGGCCGCAAGGCUG
rnacentral:rRNA from 1 species